UCUGAGAUGAAGCGAGAAUACCCGCCGAAUUUAAGCAUAUCAAUAAGCGGAGGA
rnacentral:rRNA from 1 species